UACGUAGGGUGCAGGCGUUAAUCGGAAUUACUGGGCGUAAGCGUGCGCAGGCGGUCUUUAAGUCAGAUGUGAAAUCCCCGGGCUUAACCUGGGAACUGCGUUUGUGACUGCAUAGCUAGAGUACGGUAGAGGGGGAUGGAAUUCCGCGUGUAGCAGUGAAAUGCGUAGAUAUGCGGAGGAACACCGAUGGCGAAGGCAUCCCUGGACCUGUACUGACGCUCAUGCACGAAAGCGUGGGGAGCAAACAGG
rnacentral:rRNA from 1 species